GUCUAAGGCCAGACCACCCUGAACACACCCAAGGUCCUCUGAUCUCAGAAGCUAAUCAGAGUUGGGCCUGAUUAGUACUUAGAUGGGAGACCACUGAAAUAUUCAUUGCUGUAGGUU
ensembl:rRNA 5S_rRNA 5S ribosomal RNA